rnacentral:rRNA from 1 species
AUUGAACGCUGGCGGCAUGCUUUACACAUGCAAGUCGAACGGUAACAGGCCUUCGGGUGCUGACGAGUGGCGAACGGGUGAGUAAUGCAUAGGAACGUGCCCAGAGGUGGGGGAUAACGCAGCGAAAGCUGUGCUAAUACAGCAUGUGAUCUGAGGAUGAAAGCGGGGGACCAGGCAGCAAUGUUUGGCCUCGCGCCUUUGGAGCGGCCGAUGUCCGAUUAGGUAGUUGGUGGGGUAAAGGCCUACCAAGCCGACGAUCUGUAGCUGGUCUGAGAGGACGACUAGCCACACUGGGACGGAGACACGGCACAGACGCCUACGGGAGGCAGCAGGGGGGAAUUGUGGACAAUGGGCGCAAGCCUGAUCCAGCAAUGCCGCGUGCGGGAAGAAGGCCUUCGGGUUGUAAACCGCUUUUGUACGGAACGAAAAGGCUCUGGCUAAUACCUGGGGCUGAUGACGGUACCGUAAGAAUAAGCACCGGCUAACUACGUG